rnacentral:rRNA from 1 species
GUGGGGAAUAUUGGACAAUGGGGGGAACCCUGAUCCAGCCAUGCCGCGUGUGUGACGAAGGCCUUUUGGUUGUAAAGCACUUUAAGCGAGGAGGAGGCUACUGAGAUUAAUACUCUUGGAUAGUGGACGUUACUCGCAGAAUAAGCACCGGCUAACUCUGUGCCAGCAGCCGCGGUAAUACAGAGGGUGCGAGCGUUAAUCGGAUUUACUGGGCGUAAAGCGUGCGUAGGCGGCUUUUUAAGUCGGAUGUGAAAUCCCCGGGCUUAACUUGGGAAUUGCAUUCGAUACUGGGAAGCUAGAGUAUGGGAGAGGAUGGUAGAAUUCCAGGUGUAGCGGUGAAAUGCGUAGAGAUCUGGAGGAAUACCGAUGGCGAAGGCAGCCAUCUGGCCUAAUACUGACGCUGAGGUACGAAAGCAUGGGGAGCAAACAGGAUUAGAUACCCCGGUAGUCC